AUGGCUGUCGUCAGCUCGUGCCGUGAGAUGUUGGGUUAAGUCCCGUAACGAGCGCAACCCUUGUCCUUAGUUACCAGCACGUAAUGGUGGGCAUCUAAGGAGACUGCCGGUGACAAACCGGAGGAAGGUGGGGAUGACGUCAAGUCAUCAUGGCCCUUACGGCCUGGGCUACACACGUGCUACAAUGGUCGGUACAGAGGGUUGCCAAGCCGCGAGGUGGAGCUAAUCCCACAAAACCGAUCGUAGUCCGGAUCGCAGUCUGCAACUCGACUGCGUGAAGUCGGAAUCGCUAGUAAUCAGCGAAUUUAGAAUGUCGGGUGAAUACGUUCCCGGGUCUUGACACACGCAUC
rnacentral:rRNA from 1 species